UACGGAGGAUCCAAGCGUUAUCCGGAUUCAUUGGGUUUAAAGGGUGCGUAGGCGGAAUGAUAAGUCAGUGGUGAAAUCCUGCAGCUUAACUGCAGAACUGCCAUUGAUACUGUCAAUCUUGAGUAUAUUUGAUGUGGGCGGAAUGUGUCAUGUAGCGGUGAAAUGCUUAGAUAUGACACAGAACACCGAUUGCGAAGGCAGCUGACUACGCGAGUAUUGACACUGAGGCACGAAAGCGUGGGGAUCAAACAGG
rnacentral:rRNA from 1 species